rnacentral:rRNA from 1 species
AUUGAACGCUGGCGGCAUGCUUUACACAUGCAAGUCGAACGGCAGCGCGGGCUUCGGCCUGGCGGCGAGUGGCGAACGGGUGAGUAAUGCAUCGGAACGUGCCCAGUAGUGGGGGAUAGCCCGGCGAAAGCCGGAUUAAUACCGCAUACGACCUGAGGGUGAAAGCGGGGGACCGAAAGGCUUCGCGCUAUUGGAGCGGCCGAUGUCGGAUUAGCUAGUUGGUGGGGUAAAGGCUUACCAAGGCGACGAUCCGUAGCUGGUCUGAGAGGACGACCAGCCACACUGGGACUGAGACACGGCCCAGACUCCUACGGGAGGCAGCAGUGGGGAAUUUUGGACAAUGGGGGCAACCCUGAUCCAGCCAUGCUGCGUGCGGGAAGAAGGCCUUCGGGUUGUAAACCGCUUUUGUUCGGGAAGAAAUCCUCUGGGCUAAUACCCCGGGGGGAUGACGGUACCGGAAGAAUAAGCACCGGCUAACUACGUG